AACGAACGCUGGCGGCGUGCCUAACACAUGCAAGUCGAACGGAUUGAAGGGGCUUGCUCCUUCAGUUAGUGGCGCACGGGUGAGUAACGCGUAGAUAAUCUGCCUGAUGAUCUGGGAUAACAGUUCGAAAGGACUGCUAAUACCGGAUAAGCCCACGUGGUCUUUGGACCGUGCGGGAAAAGGGGGGGACCUUCGGGCCUUCUGUCAUCAGAUGAGUCUGCGUACCAUUAGCUAGUUGGUAGGGUAAUGGCCUACCAAGGCUACGAUGGUUAGCUGGUUUGAGCGAAGGAUCAGCCACACUGGAACUGAGACACGGUCCAGACUCCUACGGGAGGCAGCAGUGGGGAAUUUUGCGCAAUGGGCGAAAGCCUGACGCAGCAACGCCGCGUGAGUGAUGAAGGCUUUCGGGUCGUAAAGCUCUGUCGAGGGGAAAGAAGUGUAUUGUGGUUAAUACCCGCGAUACUUGACGGUACCCCUAAAGGAAGCACCGGCUAACUCCGUGCCAGCCGCCGCCGUAAAAC
rnacentral:rRNA from 1 species